AUUGAACGCUGGCGGCAUGCCUUACACAUGCAAGUCGAACGGCAGCACGGGAGCAAUCCUGGUGGCGAGUGGCGAACGGGUGAGUAAUAUAUCGGAACGUGCCCAGUCGUGGGGGAUAACGUAGCGAAAGCUACGCUAAUACCGCAUACGAUCUAUGGAUGAAAGCGGGGGAUCGCAAGACCUCGCGCGAUUGGAGCGGCCGAUAUCAGAUUAGGUAGUUGGUGAGGUAAAGGCUCACCAAGCCGACGAUCUGUAGCUGGUCUGAGAGGACGACCAGCCACACUGGGACUGAGACACGGCCCAGACUCCUACGGGAGGCAGCAGUGGGGGAAUAUUGGUCAAUGGGCGCAAGCCUGACCAGCAAUGCCGCGUGCAGGAAGACGGUCCUAUGGAUUGUAAACUGCUUUUAUACAGGAAGAAACCCUCCCACGUGUGGGAGCUUGACGGUACUGUAGGAAGAAGCCCCGGCUAACUUCGUG
rnacentral:rRNA from 1 species